rnacentral:rRNA from 1 species
GGUUGUCGUCAGCUCGUGUCGUGAGAUGUUGGUUAAGUCCCGCAACCGAGCGCAACCCUUGUCUUCAGUUACCAUCAUUCAGUUGGGGACGUCUGGAGAGACUGCCGGUGACAAACCGGAGGAAGGUGGGGAUGACGUCAAAUCAUCAUGCCCCUUAUGACCUGGGCUACACACGUACUACAAUGGCGUAUACAACGGGAAGCGAAAUGGUGACAUGGAGCAAAUCUCACAAAGUACGUCUCAGUUCGGAUUGAAGUCUGCAACUCGACUUCAUGAAGUCGGAAUCGCUAGUAAUCGCGGAUCAGCAUGCCGCGGUGAAUACGUUCUCGGGCCUU